UUUGUCAGACUCAGAGCAGCUGAGUGACAGAGUGUCAGUGCUGGAUGUGAGGAUGAGGUACACUUUGAUCUGUGUGCUGGGAUUAUUCUUGAUGAAUACACUCUUCUACGGACACUCUGAAGGGCAGGGUGAUGACUCAGCAGAGGACACUGGUGAGUCUGAUGUGGAGAAAGGAUCAUCUGCAGGUGC